ensembl:lincRNA
AGGAAGGCCGUAAGCAGCUGUUCUCCUGCCUUGAGUUCCUGCCUCAGCUACCCUGGGCAGACUGAAACCUGCUGUCAUAAGAAAGCUGCUAUGGUUCAUUAAGGAGUUCCAGAAGUGGACAGAAGCAUUCUUGAUCAUUUCUUAUAAUAGACAUUUUUUGAAAACCAAAGAGGUGUGCAGAGGCUUGGGGAGACCAGAAAAGGGCACGGGAUCUUCUGGUGCUGGGGAUUCAGGUAACUGUGAGCUGCCCAACACGGGUGCUGGGACUGAGUCCUUUGGAGGAUAACCCAGCAACUGUAACAGCUAAGCUGUCGUCAGGAUUCAAGAUGCUUUAUUUGUAUUUAUGUAACUUACAAAAUAGAUGUCACCAACAAAGAGAGUUUAUCCCAGGGCAUGAACAUUGGCUUCUGAUGCCUGGGACUCCUCACAUCACAGCCGACUCAGAAGCAGAGCUAAGCGCUCAUCCCUAAUGAGUCCUUAUCAGCCUACUUCCUCCAGUUAUGUUCUACAUCCCAAAACUCCUUAAACUCCCUUGUACCCACAGCUCCUUAAAACAGUACUGAAAGACAUGUCCAAGAUUCAAACACAUCACUCUUCGGUUAGCUACUGUGUCUAGAGUCAUCUGAGAAAAGGAAACACCAAUUGAGAAAGUGGCUCAUCAUUGUGGCCUGUGGGUAAAAGCUUUCAGGGCAUUUUAUUGUUUGAUGAUUGCUGUAUUUGAGUUCAGCUCACUGUGAACAUGGCCUCCCUGGGGCCAUGAUCCUGGGUAUAUAAGAAGAAAGCAAACUGAGCAAGCCAGCAGGAACUGGCCAAUAAACAAUCUGCCUCAGUUCCUGCCUUGAGACCCUUUCUUGAUGUUCCUCAAUUAUGGACCUGAAAGUUGUAAGAUGAUAUAAAUCCUUUUCUUCCCAAGUUGCUUUUGGUCAUAUUCUUUUUUGUUGCAAUAGACCCCUAACUAGAAAGAGCCUCUAGGGGACAUUCCCUGUUGAAACCAUAAUGUUCUGAUCCUGAUCCCCAGAGGCAUAUGGCCAUCUCAUAAUGAAUAAUAUACUUAGUGCAAAUUCUCAUAGUCUUGCAGUUUCUACACUGUCAAAGUCCAAAUUUAAAUUUCUCUUCUAAGACUCAAGGCAGUCUCUUAACUAUGAGCCCAUGUACACUCAAAACACACGUUACUUAUUUUCAGCAUAUGAAGGCACAGAGUAAACAUACCUACUCCAAAGAAGAGCAGACACAAAGUCCUGAAAGGCGCCUGCCCCGUGGCUGAAGCUCUUGAUGACAACACAUGGGAUCCCAGGGACUCGGCCAACUGCAGCCUAUGUAGCGGACUCAGCUCAUGCAACUUUUCAGUAUCCUUGGGUCUCAACUGCAACUCAGGCUUCACCUCACUGCUCCACACAGAGCCCACUCGUGAGCUCUACAUGAGGUACCUGACUGGCUUUUUUGGCUCCCUGGAACCUCGAACAAGCCUCACUUUUAUAUCUUGCCACCUUCUGCUGCUAGGUCUUGAUGUAGCCUCUCGCCACCCCUUCAGUGGCCUCUGUGCACCUUCAAGGCCGAGCUUGGGAAAAUGCUUGUCUUUUGCUCCUCUUCGAGCAAGAGCAUUGGGAGCUUGUUUUGUUUCCCUUUCCAUGUAAGCCUGUGUUUUUGCACCCCAGAGCUUUUGAUGGGUUGACUCCUGCCUUCCAGGGUCUUUUCCUAGUGUCCUGUUGCACAGUGUGUGGGGUCUUGAAGAGAUCAGAGCACUGAUCUCCCCAACCAUCGCAGCCAUGCAUUCUUACAGCCAUUUCUGAAACCCAAUUUAGAUUCAUUUUCUCACGGAACUUCAUGCUUCUGAAACAUAGUCUACUCUUCCACACUGGAAUUCUGGCUGACAGCAGUGACCAGUAGCCAUGGCACAGACUGACUGUUAUGACCUUCAAAAUUCCUCUGCCAAAGAGUCUAGUCCCUGCCUUUUGAAUUCAGCCCCUGAAAUGUUCAGGGCAGGCAAAUGUGGAAAGGUUAUUUGCCAGCAUGUCAGAUGAAUGGCCUCUAGCCCAUUCCUGAGAAGAGUCCUUGUUAAUUUAUGGAAUAGGUUGUAUUUGAGGAGUUUUGAAGAACUGGUGCAAGUUUCUCAGAAAAGGUGAUGCCAGAGCCAGGCUUGAUCACGUGAACUGGCUCUAACAGAAUUCCCUGGGCUGACAUAAACUAAUGUCUCAUAGUUCCGGAUCCAACUCCAAGAUCACAGCAUAGAAAGAGCUGGCAUCUGCUGCUGGCCCGAUUCACAGGUGGUUGUCUUCUGCUCGGUCCAUGUCUAGUAAAACACUAGGAAG